AGGAGAGUUUGAUCCUGGCUCAGAACGAACGCUGGCGGCGCGUCUUAAGCAUGCAAGUCGAGCGGUAAGUUGUAGCUUGCUACAACCUAGAGCGGCGGACUGGUGAGUAACGCGUGGGUGACGUACCCUCUGGACGGGGAUAGCUCCUAGAAAUAGGAGGUAAUACCGGAUAAGGUCGUAUGUGUCAGAGGCAUACGAGGAAAGGUUCUUUUGAACCGCCGGAGGAGCGGCCCGCGUACUAUUAGCUAGUUGGUGAGGUAACGGCCCACCAAGGCGACGAUAGUUACCCGGCCUAAGAGGGUGAACGGGCACAUUGGGACUGAGAUACGGCCCAGACUCCUACGGGAGGCAGCAGCUAAGAAUAUUCCGCAAUGGACGAAAGUCUGACGGAGCGACGCCGCGUGGAUGAUGAAGGCCGGAAGGUUGUAAAAUCCUUUUAGGUGCGAGGAAUAAGUAAGGUGAGAGAAACGCCUUAUGGUGACGGUAGCACCUGAAUAAGCAACGGCUAAUUACGUGCCAGCAGCCGCGGUAACACGUAAGUUGCGAGCGUUGUUCGGAAUUAUUGGGCGUAAAGGGCAUGUAGGCGGUAAUGCAAGUCUGGUGUGAAAUGCCGGAGCUUAACUCCGGAACUGCGUUGGAAACUGCAUUACUUGAGUGACUGAGGGGCAGGCAGAAUUCCUGGUGUAGGGGUGAAAUCUGUAGAUAUCAGGAAGAAUACCAAUGGCGAAGGCAGCCUGCCAGCAGAUGACUGACGCUGAGGUGCGAAGGUGCGGGGAGCAAACAGGAUUAGAUACCCUGGUAGCCCCCU
rnacentral:rRNA from 1 species